AUGGCGCAGCCUCCCAACAUAUUCCAUACAGUGUCCCAAGACAUCUUCCUGAAAGCUGUCAGUCCAUGCCACUUACCUGCCUCAGAACCACUGAUGCCCCCUGGAUGGCUGAAAGCAGAAGGUUUGAUAGAUCUGAGGCCCAUCUAUACUGUGGCUCCAGGGGUCAUCCCAUUACCCCUCUAAGUGUAUGAAUGGUACAGACACACACUUUAAGUCCAGCCAAGAACCAGCUAAGACUACCUCCAAUGGCUCUGGCUCAGCAUGCCCAUGAUCCAGGCAAGGGUGAACAAUACUCACGAGAGGCGGUACCACCUCUUGCAAACCCCAGAGACUCUCAGCAGCUCAGGGAGGCACAGACAGGAAAAGAUCCCAAGCAGUAACUCAUCUGGAAGGGAGUCCCAGGAGACACCUGCAAGGAAGCAAAACAGGGUUUCCAUCUCUGGAUUCUUCACUGUCAAAGUCACGGAGUCCCGCCAAGCAUUGAUCAUGCACCAGCAUGUAUCAAGCA